CACAUAUACAUCUGCCCUCACUUUCAGAAUAGUGAAACCUCUAUGAUACUCUGAUUACUUAUCUCCAAGCAUUUGAUACCAGAGUAGUCAUAUGGGGCUGCAUAAAGAACUUAGAAGGGGGUUGUGCUGUGGCAGUUAAUCAUAGUUAAUGUGGUGCCAAGGAAGAAGAGAAAACAUCUUUAUGACUGUAAGUGGAAAAAGGAUGAAUUAAACAGAGCUUGGAAGAGCAGCUGUGUUGCAGGGGAGCCUCAGGCUUUUGGUGUGGUUGCAGGAAAUGGGCUGCAUGCAUCUUGAGGGGUGCCCACAAACACGCUCAGGGCUUUCAGAAAUGUAUUUAGGUCACUGACACUUUGAAAGCUUUAUGCAUUUUGAUCCUAGGGGCUGUAACAAAGGCAUGUAAACUCAAAGUGAAAGCUAGCAUCCAUCCGUGGCUGGUCUUAUUGUAUCCACAGGAAUUUCAGAUCAAUGAAGGAUGUUAGCAAUUAUGUGCUGAAAUAACUAAGUACAAUGGGAUGAGGGUCAGAAGGAGGUGAUGGAUGUCCUUUCCCAGCAGUAGUGGUGCCCUCCUUGGAUUUGUAGAACUGCGUACAAAACACAUUUUCAUUUCAACAUCGCUAAGAGCUCACAUGGCCGAUAGAAAAUGACCCUAAUGUACAACUGUUAUAUUUCCACAAGAAGGAGACUAUGUUCGGGGCAAAGGAUUUUAAUCUUCCAUUGUAAAUGAAGGCACAGAAGUCUUGUAAUCUCUGACACUGUUUUACAGUCAGAACCUGGAAGGCUACCUUCAGAUUAUGGAAGCUGGCAAAAUUCAUAACCUGGCAAAAGGAAAAAUAUUCACAUAACUCUCGGCAAGAACCCAAAUCAAACCAUUCUUUUUAAUUGCAGAAAGAUGAAGCCUCUGGACAAAAUGUGUUCCAAAUAAUAUAAUCUGCACUUCCUGUCACAUAAAGAAAACUCUUCUGAAGAUGCUGACUGGGAGACUCUUCCCCCACCUCUUGCAUCAUGGAUAAUCAAUAUUUGCCUGGAUGAUGCUGAUGAUGGACAAUACGCUGGGUCUGCAAUAACAUUGACUCAAAAUUCCUUGCUCAUUGUGAGAUAACUUCCUAAAGAUUGCGAGCAAAAGGAAGUCAGAGAACAAAGCAAUGUCAAGUAUGCACAUGUCACAACACAAUGCGCUGAUUCCAAGUCUUUGGAAACAUGCUGAAAGAUGUCUGGAAAAAAAAAAAAAAGAAGAAAAAAAAAAAAAGGAAAUGCUUUCACACAGAAUUUCGACAUGAAAACAACAGCUGAAUGUGCCUGUUCCUGCCAGGAAAAAAUACCCUGAAAAAACAAAAGGUGCUGGAAAACUAGAAAUGAAAUCAUCACAUGCUACACAAGAGGAUAUGAGCAGAGAUCAAGCCCAUUGAAAACAAGCCGAGAGGUUGACCAGCCUACUGGGGUGACUGAAAGGCCAGAAAAGAUGCUGCGGGAAGACUUCCAAGCAACAAUAAAUAUUGAAGUUCUUUCCAACUCAAUGUUUUGAAAUGUCUUAGAAGUUUUAACCAAAAGGCCUUGCUAUGAUCAACUCUAGUAGGGGAAUAAGAGUAAUAUUUCCACAAGAAAUAUUUUAUUUUCAAUGGUACUUUCUCCAAAAACCACCAAUGGAGAAGUGGUGGGAUUUGAUGACAACAUAGACUUUAAAAAUGUAAUAAACUUAUCUAAUGGAAAAGAUGAUGACAGCUUUCAAAGAUAUGUCCACCAACAAGAACUGCUGCAGCCAGAUGUUUUGGUCAAAUUCGAGUACGUCACUGAGAUACUGAGCAAGCUCAAAACAGAACAGCUGAUUGCUUUGAAGAGCCAACACUUGAAAUUACUUAAAGCACUCUUCUACCAAAGAGACAGAAGACAGCUUUCAUAUUCUCGAGUCAUCCUACAAAGUCCUGCGUGAAAUAGACUACUGCAGCCUACAGGCAUCAUAGAAAUAUUUCAGUCAAGACCACAAGUUCCACUCUUGCCCCUAUGCUUAUGCUAAUGUGCACGAUCUCUUUGAUGAACAACAGCAAGGAGACUGGAUAGCUUGAGGUGUAAUUGAUGGGAUGCUGAAGGUCUGGCUGUUGUUUUGGUGGUUAUUUUUAUAGAUUAUAAAGGAACUGACCAUGCAGUGCUACCUCAACUUGUGGCUGAAUCUAACAGCUUCAUGGACUCAGCCCUCCAUUUAGCCCAUUUGGUCAAAUUAGGCUGGUGGUAACUGAAAGCUGUGACCAGCUGAUGGCUAUGUUGAAUGAUAGCUUGUGGAAAUCUCCUUAGUGGACUCAGACCAAAUUUUACUGACAGAAUCUCACUAUCUCCAAGCAAAUUCCUCCAAAAUAAAUGCUAACUCAAGGCUCAGGGGCAACCACAGGUUUAAAGACAAGGAGGGUGAACUUGUGUCUUCUCUAGAAGUAUUUUCUGUAAGCCAGCAAUGAAGUGAAAAAAAGGCACAUUUGUGUCAGCACCACCCAGGCUGUCAAUAAAGAACUCCUGCCCUCAGAACUAUCAAAUCAAAUUCAUAUGAAUUUCCCACUCUUCCAAAACCACUUUCCCACAGGGAAGAAGGGAUCACAAAAUUAAACAGCAUUCCCUUCUUCUCACAUCUUUGUAAUCUGCAAGCACUGUGCCUGUCACAGUGCUCCCAGGAGGUUUCCUUAACCAUAAUGUCUCAUCUCUGCAAACAGCUGUUUCCCUUUUGCACAAGAGUUCUUGGAGAUAUGCUUCACUUAUCAGAACUAUACCACUGAAAAGCUGGUAAAUAACCAAGUUCUGUUGGAAAGAUGAAAUUGCACUGCAGAUAGAUGGAUUUGCUUAACCUAUAAAAUAAUUCUGAGAUAGCUAUUGUUUUGGCAAAAUUCUAAAAUGUAACAAAGUUUGAUUGUUCUUGGCUUCUCCUAAUUUGCUUACUUUGGGGUAAUAGCUGGCCUUCAAUAUGCAUGUUAGUCUCGUUACUGUUAAGUUAAAUAUAUACACACAUAUCUAAGAGAGGUUUGACCAUUUACUGUCAGUGUUCCAAGGUUAGCUGAAGUCUGGACCUAUUACUUUCUCUGUGCUCCACUAAUUGAGACCAAGGCUUAUGCAAGACUUCCUUGGGGAUCACAGGGUCUGAGGUUUUUAUAGUCCACAAGGCUAAAAUUCAAAUAUGAACCACAGCUGUUUGGAUGGAAGUCCUGGACCUCAUCCUUUUGAACUAUAGUGACCUGCUCAGCCUUGCCAUCAUGUGAAACUCAGAAAUCCCUGCACAGAUGAUGACUGGGAUGUGAAAAUUGCCUGCCAAGCAGACCUGGGUAAAGUGAUUGGUUUACAGUGCUCUGGGAUUUGCAGGUGAAAGGACUGCUCUCUCACUCUCCUCUGCUACCCUCUUCCCCUCCAUUUCUGUACAUAUCAUUCUUUUAUAUAUAUAUAUAUAUGCAGAUUUGAUUCCACAUUCACCACCCAAACAGCUGAAUUGAUGUUCCUAUUGAAGAUGGUGAAGUUCCUCCCUUCUGCCAAGUACAGUUAUUUUUAUGAGUCCCCAGUAAGAGGUAAAGUAAGAGAAACAGGGUGUGGGAUAAACUAGUUAAUCUAUUUAAAUAGGGAUAGACCUCUAGCGCCCUAACACUUAAAUACUUUGUCUUCACUCGGCUGUGCUAUAUUUUAACUGGGGACUACAACCAGGACAAACAAGCGUGGCCUUUUCCUACUGUGGAUUGUCAUGCGAAAAUAUUUGUGAAGGGGUGGAGUAAACAUUUUUGGGGAUCACACUGCAAGAGGAGAUAUAUGGGAACUCACUGUGAUGCAAAAGGAAAUCAUGUGUUACUCCACAGAUGAUGUGAUUGGCAUUGUGAGCUCAGAUGCGUAAAGACUAUCGAGGCAAAAAAAUCAAGAUUGAAGCAGAAUGAAAUGCUCCUUUCUUCGGUAAGUCAGUGGGAGUCAUAAAUACUUCUGCAUCAGCUAGGAAAGCUACAAAAAACUAAAUCACAACUCUAUUUUCAUGCUGAUGCAUGCACUUUAAAGUAAUAUAUAUAAAAAUGCCUUCCUUUUGGCAUAACUGCAAUUACAUAAAUAUUUAGAUUUAUACUAAUAAGUAAUUUUGCAGAAGUUUAAAAUGAUAGGCUGCGUGAUAGCUAUUUAAGGGGAUGGGCAGCCCACCUUCCAGUGGCCACAGUGACUUCCAUCAAGUCGUAAUUGCAGGAGAGGGUGCUUCUGGAAAUUAAUGGUGAAUCUUAUAUUCCCUUGCAUUUAGAAUCCAAAUCUAUUAUUUCAUUACUACUGUUAAUUAUAUAACAAUCAUAUAAUAAUUAUAAAAAUAAUUAUAUAAUAACUAUGUCUGAAUAAAUAAUAAGCAUUUUCAAUAUUAAUGACUGCCUAGCAAGCAAGGCAAAGCAGAUCUUAAUCUGGUUUGAGUUUCUAUCCUUACACAUUCAUUUUACUCUUGCAAAGCAUAUUAAAUACUAUGGAAUGUAUAAAAAAGGCCACAAUUUCUUCUCUAUUGGUAUACUGAAAGUCUUUGUGUGUCCAAGGUAAUAGGAAUUCCCACAUUCGUGCUUACUGUAAAAUACAGCAAGCAAAAGCUAGAUAAAUUCUGUUUAAUAUGGAAAUAAUUUUGGCUGCAUCUUUGGCUUUGUAUGACAUGGAAACUGGUGAUUGUUUAUGCUUUGCUACUUUUUUUGGUCUGCAUUAAAAUCCCACAUGAGAAACAAAUUUUUCUCUAGGAACAAAAUGUUACUUUUUUGGGACUGAGUUCUAAUAAGUUGGGUAGUACGUCUGCUUCUUUUCAGCUGGGAAAUUGCAAUGCAUAUAAAAUCCAGAUGGAUAACACAUGAGGCUGGAAGCAGCCUUGGCCAAUCAGCCACGUCACUUGAUUAAAAGAAACCUAUAAUAAUUUAAGUAAAAAUAGUACCCUAACAAAGUAACAGAGCAACAAACUGGCUGCAGCAUGCGAUUUCAUCACAGUUCCAAUAUUGCUUUACUUUUGCUGGUUGGUCCUUUCAUAUCUUAUUGUAAAUUAACCUAUUUGCAUUAAGCGUGCAUGGAACUUGUGAUUAAAGCCCCAAAAUGUCAGUGAUGGAAGAUACAUGAUAAGCAGGAUGAGGGGGUAAAUCCAUCACCAGACUACAGAAGGCCACAAGGACCUAUUGCUCUUAGGGCAGUGGUGCACUUGAAGAACUCAGCUGAGAGUUUUGCCAUGAGGAAUCACCUACCCUGGCACGUGCCACACUAGUGCAGACCAGUACUUUUUGUAUGGAUUUUGUCUGUGACUGUCAGAAAGCAAGUAAGUGCAUCAAUGCAAUUACAAGGUCACUCUGCGGAAAAACUCCUGACUAUCCCGCGAGAUGCAGCAGAUUUGUGGGUGAGACUGUCUAAGGCAGCCUGUGAAGAAGUCACAGACAGGACUUGCAGAGGGAUGGAGCCACAUCUGGAAUCCCUGUGGGCAAUUGAAGGAAUGUUUAUUAUUCUUUGUUUAUUAUUUUGAGUGUGUACUCUCCCUCUUCCUUUCUUUGUCUCUCUUUGUUAUUUGUGUAAUAAAAUUCCUCUAGGCAUACAAAGUAAGUAAGUCAUCUGGAAUUGUGCAGUUCCCUCUGCCAGGAAGCUGGAAAAGCCUCUCGUGCAGAGACAAAAAUAUGGGCUCAUCUCAAACACUGAGAAAUUACAGAAAUAUUCACCAUUUGCCUUUGAGUUAUAUUUACAUAGGAAAGAACUGUGGCAAAUACGUGUGCUUCUUGCUGUUAAAAAAAAUUGGCUUUUAUCCUGCCCAAGGUGUUGUGUUUAUUUAAAGGUUGUUGAGAAAUAAUUUGUACGUUCUAAAAUAAAGCAUGCAAAAUACAUUAAAAGGGCCCAGUGACAAAGUUGUUUUUUUUUUUUUGCCAGUGGGUGUGGAGAAGGAAAAGGAAAUGAGUAAGUAGAGAGGAGCGUCUUUAUGGCCACAUGGCUAGUGAAAAUUUCUAUUUAUUCUUUGGGGAAAAAGCAAAGUAGCUGCAUAGUUGCUGGUUGGAUAGGUGCCGGGACUAUUUUUAUUGGCAGGCAGCUCUGAGUGGCUGAAAGGCGGUCAUUAACACUCUGACACAAAGUGCUGACAGGGCGAUUAUAAGAUUAACACCCUAUGUUAUAUUAACAGUGUCAAAACCUCCCCGUACCUGUCAGUGAGAAAUAAUGGCACGAAGGAAAACAUUAUAGACAUGCUGAGACUUUAGCACUGAAAUACCAUGCAGCUAUUCACUUUUUGAAAUUGAUCUAAAUAUCUAGAUGACCUACUGAAGGCUCAUAAAAUAAUGUGAUUUAAAUGGCAGCUUCACCAAAUCAAAAAAUGAAUGCAAAAGUUAAGCCGCCCAGCUUACUUACUCUCUUGUUGACACUUUUAGCCCUGAUCUCCCUGGCAGUGGGUCUCUCACAACUGCUGCCUUUCAGUAGAGUUAUGGUUUGAGAUCUCAUAAAUUUAGGAUUUGACCUUAGGACUUUUGACAAAAACAGAGCUUUUCUGGAGAAUAUUAUUACUGGUCAAAAUUCAACCUCGGUCUUUCUCCAGGACUGCUAGUCAUCAUAGUCUGGUUUUAUCAGUGAGAGCCUUUGGACCAUAAGGACCAAUCUGCAUUUAAAAUGUCUCUGCUCCACGUUCAUUAGAACUGGAAUAGCAAACCCUCUGGCAUAGCUGUCCUGGAGAAUAUCCAAAGAAUGGCAACGAAACCAGUGAAGUUUCUGGAUCACAAGUCUUAUGGAGAGCAACUGAGGGAAAUGAGAUUGGUCAUUCUGGAGAAGGUGAGGUUCAGGGAAGACCUUAUCACACUCUACAGCUGCCUAAAAGGAGGUUGUGGUGAGAUGAGGGUGGGGCUCUUCUCCCAGGUUUCAGUGAUAGGAUGAGAGAUGAUGACCUUAAAUUGCACCAGGGGAGGUUCAAGUUGGAUAUUAGGGAAAAUUUCUUCUCAGGAGUGGUGAUGCACUGGCACAGGCUGCUCAGGGAGGCGGUAGAGUCACUGUCCCUGGAGGUGUUCAAGAAAAGGGUGGGUGUGGCACUGAGGGAUAUAAUCUAGAGCAGUCGUGGCCAUGGCUUGAUGGUUGGACUAGAUGAUCGUAGUGGUCUUUUCAACCUUGAUGAUUCUAUGAUAGCUUCAGCUAGACUGCCUUAUGCUGCCUUAAGUUCUGCCAGUUUUGAUUAAGAGGAUAAGCCAGGAGAAAAAAAGUUCUUCCUGUAAGACUAAAUCUGUACCUUCACUAGUAAAAAAUAUUGUUCAAGUGUUGCCAGGCAAAGCAUUAUUUCUGUAUUUUUAUUAUUAUAUUUUAUGUUGUAUAUGAUGAUAAUACAGUCUAUAUAUUUUUGUCUGUAAGACUGAUAAAUAAAAUGCAAAUUAAAUAUUCUUCUAAUACUUUGGUUUCUAACCAAAUAAAGACAUGGUCAAAUCACCCCACGUGCCAGGAAAUGCUUCUGAGUUGCAUAAUAAAGGUUUGAUAGUUUUAAGUAAGUGGGAUCUGGGGGGUUUACAGAAUGUUGCAAUGCCAUCAUACCUUAU
ensembl:lncRNA